AUUGAACGCUGGCGGCAUGCCUUACACAUGCAAGUCGAGCGGCAGCGCGGGGGCAACCCUGGCGGCGAGCGGCGAACGGGUGAGUAAUACAUCGGAACGUGUCCAGUAGCGGGGGAUAACCUGUCGGAAGAUAGGCUAAUACCGCAUACGACCUACGGGUGAAAGCGGGGGACUCUCGGGCAACUGAGGGCCUCGCACUAUUGGAGCGGCCGAUGUCGGAUUAGCUAGUUGGCGGGGUAACGGCCCACCAAGGCGACGAUCCGUAGCUGGUCUGAGAGGACGACCAGCCACACUGGAACUGAGACACGGUCCAGACUCCUACGGGAGGCAGCAGUGGGGAAUUUUGGACAAUGGGCGCAAGCCUGAUCCAGCCAUGCCGCGUGAGUGAAGAAGGCCUUCGGGUUGUAAAGCUCUUUCGGCGGGGACGAAACGGUCCGUGACAACACCACGGACUAAUGACGGUACUCGCAGAAGAAGCACCGGCUAACUACGUGCCAGCCGCCGCGGUAA
rnacentral:rRNA from 1 species